GCACAUUCUUUCAUUAAAAUAUUUUCCGCCUAAACUCAUAGAUUUCCUUACUUUUUAAGCAGGCAUUCUUAACCAAAAAAUAAAAAAAAAAAAGUACAUCAAAGUUGCCUUAUAUUUUAUUCAAGCAUACUUCACAUUAUACAUACAUCAUUUUUGACAGCUCUCUCACAUCACAUGUGCCCCAUGAUUAAGCAUUUUUUUUAAGCAUCACGGGCAUACUGCUUACUACAAACCACAUCAUUUGAUUAAUACACUUUCGUACAUUACAGCCAUUGAUUUUCUUCAGUUAUUAAUUACAUUUGAAAUUCAAAAGAAAUAAACGAAUUUUCCAAAAAGUACAACAACAAACAAAAACAUCCAAAUUGAAAUUCCAAUAAACAAACACAAAAAUUAAAACUCAGUUGGGGGUCUAUUUAUUAUAACCCAAUUCCAGUGAAGUCACCAUGGACUUAUAAAUCUCAUAUAUCAACCUGUUUUCGAAUUCAGUAUUGGUAUGAGGCAGUGAAGGUUUUCGAGCUUUGGGAAUUCUUCUUGCACCAAAUGUUUUUUCAGAGCCUGAAUUUACUGCCAUCUUCAGCAUCAUGUUCAUGUAGGCGUUCUUGAAUUUGUACCACAGUUUCAAUGGAGAAGGCAGUCUAAAUCGAAACUUUUUUAUCCUCCAUGACCGCUUUGUGUUUCCAGCUCCAAACCUUGUGACUGUCACAUUCUUUCUAUUUGCAGCCGAUAAUCUGUAGUAUCCUUUUCUCUUCCACCGCCUCUUCAAUGGCAUCCAAAUGGUUUCCAUUCUGUGCGCGCGCGCGUGUGUGAGAGAGAGAUGGAUGGAGAUGAUGAUGAUGAGAGAGAGAGAGAGAUGAUGAUGAGAAGCAAAAAUGUAAUAUGAUAUAUAGGCAGAGAAA
rnacentral:lncRNA from 1 species